rnacentral:rRNA from 1 species
UACGUAGGGUGCGAGCGUUAAUCGGAAUUACUGGGCGUAAAGCGUGCGCAGGCGGUUGAUUAAGUCUGAUGUGAAAGCCCCGGGCUCAACCUGGGAAUGGCAUUGGAAACUGGUCAGCUGGAGUGUGGCAGAGGGGGGUGGAAUUCCGCGUGUAGCAGUGAAAUGCGUAGAGAUGCGGAGGAACACCGAUGGCGAAGGCAGCCCCCUGGGCUAACACUGACGCUCAGGCACGAAAGCGUGGGGAGCAAACAGG